rnacentral:rRNA from 1 species
GACGAACGCUGGCGGCGUGCUUAACACAUGCAAGUCGAACGGAAAGGCCCUGCUUUUGUGGGGUGCUCGAGUGGCGAACGGGUGAGUAACACGUGAGUAACCUGCCCUUGACUUUGGGAUAACUUCAGGAAACUGGGGUUAAUACCGGAUAGGAGCUCCUGCUGCAUGGUGGGGGUUGGAAAGUUUCGGCGGUUGGGGAUGGACUCGCGGCUUAUCAGCUUGUUGGUGGGGUGGUGGCUUACCAAGGCUUUGACGGGUAGCCGGCCUGAGAGGGUGACCGGCCACAUUGGGACUGAGAUACGGCCCAGACUCCUACGGGAGGCAGCAGUGGGGAAUAUUGCACAAUGGGCGGAGGCCGGAUGCAGCAACGCCGCGUGCGGGAUGACGGCCUUCGGGUUGUAAACCGCUUUCGCCUGUGACGAAGCGUGAGUGACGGUAAUGGGUAAAGAAGCACCGGCUAACUACGUG